rnacentral:rRNA from 1 species
UACGAAGGGGGCUAGCGUUGUUCGGAUUUACUGGGCGUAAAGGGCGCGUAGGCGGUCGUGACAAGUCACUUGUGAAAUCUCCGGGCUUAACUCGGAACGGUCAAGUGAUACUGUCGGACUAGAGUACAGAAGGGGCAACUGGAAUUCUCGGGUGUAGCGGUGAAAUGCGUAGAUAUCGGGAGGAACACCUGUGGCGAAAGCGGCGCACUGGGACCACAACUGACGCUGAGGCGCGAAAAGCUAGGGGGAGCAAACAGG